AACGAACGCUGGCGGUAUGCUUAACACAUGCAAGUCGAACGAACAAAAUUGGGGCUUGCUCCAAUUUUAGUGAGUGGCAAACGGGUGAGUAACACGUGGGAAUCUACCUAUCAAUACGGAAUAACAUUUGGAAACAGAUGCUAAUACCGUAUAUUCUCCAAGGAGGAAAGAUUUAUCGCUGAUAGAUGAGCCCGCGUAAGACUAGGUAGUUGGUAGGGUAAUGGCCUACCAAGCCGACGAUCUUUAGCUGGUCUGAGAGGAUGAUCAGCCACACUGGGACUGAGACACGGCCCAGACUCCUACGGGAGGCAGCAGUGGGGAAUAUUGGACAAUGGGCGAAAGCCUGAUCCAGCAAUACCGCGUGAAUGAUGAAGGCCUUGGGGUUGUAAAGUUCUUUUAGUUGGAAAGAUAAUGACGGUACCAACAGAAAAAGCCCCGGCUAACUCCGUGCCAGCCGCCGCAGUAA
rnacentral:rRNA from 1 species